rnacentral:rRNA from 1 species
CUCAACUGCAGUCGAACGCGAAAGGCCCCUUCGGGGGCUGAGUAGAGUGGCGUCCGGGUGAGUAACACGUAGGUAAUCUACCUCUGGGUGGGGAAUAACGACCGGAAACGGUCGCUAAUACCGCAUAAUGCAGCGGCACCACAUGGUGACAGUUGUUAAAGCGGGGGAUCGCAAGACCUCGCGCCUAGAGAGGAGCCUGCGGCGGAUUAGCUAGUUGGUAGGGUAAUGGCCUACCAAGGCGACGAUCCGUAGCCGGCCUGAGAGGGCGGUCGGCCACACUGGCACUGACACACGGGCCAGACUCCUACGGGAGGCAGCAGUCGGGAAUUUUGGGCAAUGGGCGAAAGCCUGACCCAGCAACGCCGCGUGAAGGAUGAAGCUUUUCGGAGUGUAAACUUCAUAAGAAUGGGACGAAUAAAGAGGGGUUAAUACCCCCUCCUAUGACGGUACCAUUUGUAAGCUCCGGCUAACUCCGUGCCAGCAGCCGCGGUAAUACGGGGGGAGCAAGCGUUGUUCGGAUUUACUGGGCGUAAAGGGCGCGUAGGCGGCGCAACAAGUCACUUGUGAAAUCUCCGGGCUUAACCCGGAGCGGCCAAGUGAUACUGUCGUGCUAGAGUGCGGAAGGGGCUACUGGAAUUCUCGGUGUAGCGGUGAAAUGCGUAGAUAUCGAGAGGAACACCUGCGGCGAAGGCGGGUAGCUGGGCCGACACUGACGCUGAGGCGCGAAAGCCAGGGGAGCGAACGGGAUUAGAUACCCCGGUAGUCCUGGCCUUAAACGAUGGAUGCUUGGUGUCCGAGGUUACAUAGUCCUCGGGUGCCGGCGCUAACGCAUUAAGCAUCCCGCCUGGGG